GUCUUUUUGAAUAUAAUUUAAAGUUUAAUCUGCCCACUGAUAAAUAUUAAAGGGCUGCAGUAUCAUGACUGUACAAAGGUAGCAUAAUCAUUAGUUUUUUAAUUGAAAACUUGUAUGAAGGAUUUGAUGAAAUAUAAGCUGUCUCUAAUUUAUUUAUAGAAAUUUAUUUUUUAGUUAAAAAGCUAAAAUAAUUUUAAAAGACGAGAAGACCCUAUAGAGUUUUAUAUUUAUUUUUAUUAAAAAAUUAUAUAAAAAUUAAUAUUGAAAUAAAAUGAAGUAUUAUGUUGGGGUGAUAGAAAAAUUAAAUUAACUUUUUUUAAAAAUUAAACAUAAAUAUAUGAUUAAAUGAUCCAUUAAUAAUGAUUAUAAGAAAAAAUUACCUUAGGGAUAACAGCGUAAUAUUUUUUUUUAGUUCAUAUAAAAAAAAAAGUUUGCGACCUCGAUGUUGGAUUAAGAUAAAAUUUAAAUGCAAAAGUUUAAAAUUUUGAUCUGUUCGAUCAUUAAAAUCUU
rnacentral:rRNA from 1 species